UUUUUGAAUUAAUAAUUUAAAGUCUAAUCUGCCCACUGAUAAUAAAUUAAAGGGCUGCAGUAUAUUGACUGUACAAAGGUAGCAUAAUCAAUAGUCUCUUAAUUGGUGACUUGUAUGAAAGAUUUGAUGAGAUAUAAACUGUCUCUUUAUAAUUUUUAGAAUUUAAUUUUUUAGUUAAAAAGCUAAAAUAUAUUUAAAAGACGAGAAGACCCUAUAGAGUUUAAUAUUUAAUAUAUAUAUAUAUUAAAUAUUUUUUAUAAAAUUUAAAAUUUUAAUAUUAAUAAAUAUUUUGUUGGGGUGACAGAAAAAUUAAAAUAACUUUUUUUAUAAUUUUACAUUAAUAAAUGGUUAAAUGAUCCGUAAUUUACGAUUACAAGAAAAAAUUACCUUAGGGAUAACAGCGUAAUUUUUUUUUUUAGUUCAAAUAAGAAAAAAAGUUUGCGACCUCGAUGUUGGAUUAAGAUAAAAUUUAAAUGCAAAAGUUUAAAAUUUUU
rnacentral:rRNA from 1 species